rnacentral:rRNA from 2 species
UCGGAGAGUUUGAUCCUGGCUCAGGAUGAACGCUGGCGGCGUGCCUAAUACAUGCAAGUCGAGCGAACUGAUUAGAAGCUUGCUUCUAUGACGUUAGCGGCGGACGGGUGAGUAACACGUGGGCAACCUGCCUGUAAGACUGGGAUAACUUCGGGAAACCGAAGCUAAUACCGGAUAGGAUCUUCUCCUUCAUGGGAGAUGAUUGAAAGAUGGUUUCGGCUAUCACUUACAGAUGGGCCCGCGGUGCAUUAGCUAGUUGGUGAGGUAACGGCUCACCAAGGCAACGAUGCAUAGCCGACCUGAGAGGGUGAUCGGCCACACUGGGACUGAGACACGGCCCAGACUCCUACGGGAGGCAGCAGGGAAUCUUCCGCAAUGGACGAAAGUCUGACGGAGCAACGCCGCGUGAGUGAUGAAGGCUUUCGGGUCGUAAAACUCUGUUGUUAGGG